AGUUCUUUGCAGUGGCAGUAUCAUAGCUAAUGAGGUUAAUCCAAGGUGUGAUUAUUGCUAGUUGAAAACUUUCCCUCUUUCUUUAACUAAAUAAUUUGUAACACACCUAUUGU
rnacentral:snRNA from 1 species